UGUCUUUCCCUGCCCUAGUUAAAUCGAUCCCUUUUUCCCCUAACCUACCUGCUAGCUCCCUCCCCCGAUUCAGACUCUCGCCUCGUCCCUCGGUCCGCUCAGGCGCCCAGGCCGGCCAUCUCCUAGCUCCCUCGCCUCGCCCCUCAGUCCCCUCCCCUCCGGGCUUUGACCGGGGGGGCGGCCCUCUCCCUCGCCUGCCUCCGGGCUCCAGGCCUCCAGCCGGCCGGCCGGUGGAGGGUUUCGCCCUCCGGCUUCCGUGGCGGCGCGGCUCGCUCAGUCAGACGCCAGUCCGCCUCUGGCCUCCCCUACUCCGCCACUGGUUAUGAUGCUACUGCUGUAAUCCUGAUGGGUCUAUCAUAUUGUAGGACUAUUCUUCUCUACAAUGCUAUAACUCGAGGCUGAAGAAGCUAAAACUAUUGCUUGACUUUAAAACCUAAAAGUACAGAUGUCAGUUGCAAUUCAUCCCAUCAUUCUGGAGUCUUGAUUGUUUAGUUGUGGUUUCUAUGUUGAAAAAUGCAGUGCACAAUAUGUCUCGACUUCGCAAUACUAAUUUGGAAGUUGGAGACUCUUCGCCGUUCCUGCAUACUACUAAAUUUGAGGAUUUGUCAACCUGCUAAUGCAAUGUUUCAUGGCUUGGCCAAGUUAGGUAAUCAUGUGUUUGAGUUAAGGCGUCUUAUAAAAUACAAUUCCACCUCCGUACAGAACCAACUUCUGGUUGAUUAUAAGAUGUUUUAUUUUAAUCUACAAAGCUCCACUUCAAAAGAAGAGAACAAAAUUGUAAGCUUACUGUUGUUAUUCCUUUGUGUGGAGUUCUAUCACGAUAUACAGGACUGUGCCUUUGUACUCUA